AGUGAAAAAGAACCUGAAACCGUGUACGUACAAGCAGUGGGAGCACGCUUAGGCGUGUGACUGCGUACCUUUUGUAUAAUGGGUCAGCGACUUAUAUUCUGUAGCAAGGUUAACCGAAUAGGGGAGCCGAAGGGAAACCGAGUCUUAACUGGGCGUUAAGUUGCAGGGUAUAGACCCGAAACCCGGUGAUCUAGCCAUGGGCAGGUUGAAGGUUGGGUAACACUAACUGGAGGACCGAACCGACUAAUGUUGAAAAAUUAGCGGAUGACUUGUGGCUGGGGGUGAAAGGCCAAUCAAACCGGGAGAUAGCUGGUUCUCCCCGAAAGCUAUUUAGGUAGCGCCUCGUGAAUUCAUCUCCGGGGGUAGAGCACUGUUUCGGCAAGGGGGUCAUCCCGACUUACCAACCCGAUGCAAACUGCGAAUACCGGAGAAUGUUAUCACGGGAGACACACGGCGGGUGCUAACGUCCGUCGUGAAGAGGGAAACAACCCAGACCGCCAGCUAAGGUCCCAAAGUCAUGGUUAAGUGGGAAACGAUGUGGGAAGGCCCAGACAGCCAGGAUGUUGGCUUAGAAGCAGCCAUCAUUUAAAGAAAGCGUAAUAGCUCACUGGUCGAGUCGGCCUGCGCGGAAGAUGUAACGGGGCUAAACCAU
rnacentral:rRNA from 1 species